AUAUCCUGUCAUAAAAAUUAAAACUUCUUACAUGACAGACAAAGCCAAAAGCCAAUAGCAAACUAAGAAUAACGCACUUUCAACAUAUGACAAAAUGUUAAUUUCCUUAAUAUUUAAAUCCUCUCACAAACACAUUUGCAAAGGACCAAGAACCCAGUAGAAACCACAGGCAAAGCGCAUGCGUGAAGACUUAGCAGGAAAAGGAAUGCAAAGGGCGAUUCGAUGCCAGGAGAAAAAAAUAAUUAUUAUGACAGAAAUAUAAAUUUGCAAUACUAUGUGGUGGUUAAACAUGCUCAUAAAAUGUUAUGGGAAAUGUUGAUUUGAGUCUUUAGAAUAUGAUUCAAUAAUAUCUAUUAGCAAUAAAAAUGAAUAUAACUUUUGUUUGACCACUUUUUUUUUUUUUUUUGAGACAGGGUCUCCCUCUAUUGCCCAGGCUGGAGUACAGUGGCACGAUCACAGCUCACUGCAGCCUUGACCUCCCAGGCUCAGGGGAUCCUCCUACCUCAGCCUCCUGAGUAGCUGGGACUACAGGUGUGCACCACCACUGCCUGGCUAAAUUUUGUAUUUUUAGUAGAGAUCGUGUUUUGCCACAUUACCAAGGCUGGUCUUGAACUCUUGAGCUCAAGCAACUUGCCCGCUUCAGCCUCCCAAAAAGUGCUGGGAUUACAGGCAUGAGCCACCACACCCCCACCUGUUUGGCCACUUUUAAUCCUACACUUGUACCUGUGUACAAAGACAUGAGGUUCUGUAUCGCAGUGUAUUAGCACCACCUGCCCUCCUUCCUGGGGCCACUCAUUCCCCAUGCUGAUUGAAGGAGUUGUCACACCAGAAGUGUGGGUGCCUGAGGCACCGUGGUGAGGAGUCCAGGUGGUCUGGGGUCGAGGCCAAGGCCUGGGAGUAGCUGAGGGCAUGGGUGAAGUGCAUUUUGAAGGCAGGGAGGAGGCUGACUGGAGUCUGGGGAGAGGCACACAGCCCAGUGGCAAUGAGGCUGCUUAGUCUAUGGAACCACACGUCCGUCUGGGGGCACCAUGGUGGCAAAACACAGCAAAGGGACUCGGAAGUGUGGGUGGCAAAGUGCAGGGGCCUGAGGAGCGCCCACCUUCGCAAGGGGAGAUGCCCAGUGCGGAUCUGCCGAGGAACACAAGUGGCCCCCAGCCAGCCAGAGCGGAGCCGUGCGCCUCAAUUCUCUCCACAUAAUGUGCCUUCCUGCAUUUCCACAGCUACAGACUCCAUGCUGAGCUCUGAGAAAUCAAUUUCAAUGGCAGCUUGACUAAGUACAGGACGUUUUCCUUUCAUCUCCUCUCUCAUACCGCCAAAUAUGCCUGAUGGACAAUUAAAGGACCUGUGUUCCUCUGCUGUUUGGAGAGCCGAGAGUGCCUGAAAAGAAGGCACUUAGGGAAAUGACAGGGUAAGAAACCAGACUGACCCACAACAUGCAAGAUGCCUGCAUCUUCCACAGUGGCUCCUGCCUGGUGGGAGGGACCCUGAUGGAGAACUCAGUCUGCGCGAAGAAUAAAUGCCCCGUGUUGCAGCAAAUGGGGAUGGAUUGCUCUGCACCUGCUGAGAGAAUCGAGCUGUUCAGUCAAUACCCUCUCUGUGUGACAAAACACAGUAGAUUACAGAAACCAACCACUGCUCCCCCGAAUGUGGAUGCCGGCCUUAGAGAAUGGAUCCUGGAGGGACCCCUCUGAAAGCCAGUCCAGCAAGACAGCUUGCAGAGGGGAAAUCUGGCCAUCUCUGUCCCCGCUCAACCCAGCAAGGGUCUGGGCAGAUCCACGGGGAGUUUUGUGCUAACUCAAUUCCCAUUUCCAGGAAUAAAAUCAGUCCUGUCCAAAAACCUCCCCUCCACAUCUUAUCUAGAAACAGAUGGGCUGGGAAAAAAUGCUCCCUGGAGCACCUCAGCCUGCCCCAGUCCUUGGCCGGCCUGGCCACGCGUCCCCACACUGCUCACCAUUGCUACCCACCCCUGCUUUCAUUUCUGAUUGGUGUGCAAACGUGAGAGAAUUCUGUUACCAGAAACCGAGGAGACCCCUGGGCCUCAGCAGCCACAGGCUGUUGGUGAUGCAGGUGUGAUCUUCUAUGGGGGUGGAUCCCCGUCUCUAUGGAGCAUCCUUCCUCCUGCAAGAUUUGCUUCCAAAGAGUCAAAGUCAUGGAGCUCCAAUCCCUGAAACAGAGGCAGCCCCUUCCUUUCAUUCCAAGACAGGAGGGACAGGAAUUGGGUCCCAGAUACGGAGUUUGACUGCUACCUUGGAAAUAAAGAGCAAGAUAAGAUCUGCAGACCAGUGUGGAAGAGAGACCGCUUUCCUUGAGGACACUGCGUGGCAGGAUGGAUUUAAUAUGGGGAGGCAGGGGGCAGAAUGGACAGAAGGCCACUCUGGUGAUUCAGGAGACGGUGACAGGGACUGUUGCUUGAGCCUUGUUCGUCAGAACGAAGCGAAUGAGGGCCAAAUGUGCCCACGCCCCUGGUCUUGUAGGAGCCGCCUUAGAGGAAGUCUGACAGGCCUGCCCAGCUCCCGCCUGCUGACUUAUGUUUGUUGUUGGGUGAGCAUCGGGCGGGCUCAUGGUCAUGGAGCAGCACCAGGCUGCUAGGUCUGUGGUGGGAAAAUCUGCCGUCCUUCUGGCUGGAGGAAGCACAGAAAGAAGCCCCAACCCAGCAGGCUGGUGGAGAGUGAGCAGAAACCCAGAAAAAGAGGAAGCCAAGAAGGGAAAUGGAAAACCCCCAUUCUGUAUACAAACUCUGCCCAGGACUCCAGCUGGACCCUGCAGCGUGCAUGUGAAACAGACGAGAAGCAGCUUGAAGUGGGAUUUGGGGUCCCACUGUGACAGUUAAUUUUAUGCCUCAUUUUGACUAGCUUAUGGUGUACCCAGGUCUUUGGCUAAACAUGAUUUCUGGAUGCGCCUGUGGGGGGCGUUUCUGGAAGAGAUCAAGCUGGAGAAACAUAAAGCUUGCCCCACGCUUGUAUGAAGCCAUUCUCACACUGUGAUAAUAAGUGAACUCAGUAAAGCCAACAGCAAUCCCCAUGCCAGUGGGCAUCAUCCAACCCUUCAAGGGUCUAAGGAUAACAGGGGAGGGGGAAGGAGAACGCCCUCUCUCUGUCUGAAUGCUGGAGCUGAGACAUCGGUUUCCUCUGCCCCUCGGCCUGGGGUUUAUACCAUGGGUUCUCUGGGGUCUCCAGCUUGCAGGUGACAGAUCCACGGAGCCUCUCAGGCUCCACAGCCACAUGAAACAAUCCUCAUACUGAAUCUCUUUCUCUCUGCAGACCCCAUCGGUUCUGUUUCUCUGGAGAACCCUGACUCAUACACCUGUCAACUACUGGCAUGACAGUGUUUGCAGUUUUGCUCUAACCAAGUAAAUUGGCUAUUAAAACAAAAACAUCAACCCUCUUUGGAGCAAUAUAACAGAAUCCAGAAUCUCACAACAUAGCAGUAAUAGUCUUCAAAAUUAUUCAAUAUUUGAAUGUGGAAGUCAGGAAGAUGUGACUCAUUUACGAGGAAAAAUACUCCACGAUGAACCUCAGGAUGAACCGAAUGUUGGAAUUACUAGACAAGAACAGCUAUUUUUAACUAUGCUCAGUGUGGAAAAGGAAAAUAUUCUCAUAGCAAAUGGGAAGAAAAAAAUUGUAGCAGAGAUACAGAAUGUGUAAAAAGUAUCCAACGGAAAUGUUAGAACUCAAAAAUAAAGCAGAAGAAAAAAAAUUUGCCUGAUAGAGUCAGUAGCAGAUUGGGGGUGAUAGAGGGUACACUUGAAUAUAGAACUAUCGUCAUCAUCUAAUCCAAAGAAGAGAGAGAGAGAGAGAAGACACUAUAAGGAUGAAUCACACCUCAGAAACUUAUUUUAGGAAAAUCUCACAAGCAAGUAUUGGAAUCUCAAAAGGAGAGGAGAGAGCAUGGGAAAGAAAAAAAUGGAAGAAAGAAUGUCCUCAAACUCAUGAAAUUGGGCGAAAGGUAUAAAUUUAUGAUUCAAGAAGCACAAGGAACUGCAAUCAGGAUACAUUUGCAGAAGCUCACAUCCAGGCACAGCAGCAAAUGGCUAAUACCCAAAGAUAAAGAAGAAACGUUGAAAGUAGGAAGAGGAAAAGGACAAGAGAACAACCACAGCUUCAGCCUUCUCAUCCGAAAUCAUGGAGGUUAAGAAGAGAGCCUUCUCAACCCAGAACUCCAUAUCCAAUUAAAUAUUCUUCAACAACGAAGAGUAAAGGCAUUUCCAGUUGGAGGAAAACUAUAAUAGCCUUUUCUCAGGAGACCUUCCCUACAAGAAAUGCUGAAGAAAUUUCCUCAGCAGAAAGAAAACACCACCAGGUGGAAAUCUGGGUGUUCAGAAACAAAAGAGCAUCGGGAAUAGGAAACAGAGAAGUAAAUAGAAAAAAGACUAUGUCUCCCUUCAUUUUGUUAAAGCACAUAGGACUGGUUAAAACAAAAAGUGUACUGGGUCUUAUGGGGUUUAGAAAGAGGCUUAAUGACUUAUAGCUUCAUAUGACUGAGGAGGCCUCACAAUCAUGGCAGAAAGAGGCUUAAUGACUUAUAGUUUCACAUGACUGAGGAGGCCUCACAAUCAUGGCAGGAGGCAAGGAGGAGCAAAUCGCAUCUUACAGAGAUGGUACAGGCAAAAAAAAGAGAAGAGCUUGUGCAGGAAAACUCCCCCUUAUAAAAACCAUCAGAUCUCAUGAAACUUACUCACUCUCCCGAAAACAGCAUGGGAAAGACCUGCCCCCAUGAUUCAAUUUCCACCCACCAGGUCCCUCCCACAAUACAUGGGAAUUCAAGAUGAGAUUUGGGUGGGGACACAGCCAAAUCAUAUCAGUAUAU
rnacentral:lncRNA from 1 species